rnacentral:rRNA from 1 species
GAGAAAGAGGAGAAGAGCGAACGGGGGAUGCCUAGGCUUCCGGAAGCGAAGAAGGACGUGGUAAGCUGCGAAAAGCCCCGGGGAUCCGCAAACAGGAAGUGAUCCGGGGGUGUCCGAAUGGGGGAACCCGCACGGCUGAAGGCCGUGGACAGGUCGUGAGACCUGGGCGUACGCAGGGAACUGAAACAUCUUAGUACCUGCAGGAGGAGAAAGAAAAAUCGAUUCCCUGAGUAGUGGCGAGCGAAAGGGGAGGAGCCCAAACCGAGUGCGUUUCGGCGCAGUCGGGGUUGUAGGAGCGUCCGAAUGUCGAGCAGCCAGGAACCGGAACCGUCUGGAAAGUCGGGCCGGAGAGGGUGAAAGUCCCGUACGGGUAACGGGGUUGUGAGACGGAUGCCACCUGAGUAGGGCGGGACACGAGGAAUCCUGUCUGAAUCUGCGGCGACCAUGCCGCAAGGCUAAAUAUACCCGGAAGACCGAUAGUGGACCAGUACCGUGAGGGAAAGGUGGGAAGCACCCCGGGAGGGGAGUGAAAGAGAACCUGAAACCGUUCGUUUACAAGCGGUCGGAGCCGAGAGGCGACGGCGUGCCUUUUGCAUAAUGAGCCUACGAGUUGCAUCACGGCGGCGAGGUUAAGCGCCUCAGGCGCGUAAGCCGGAGCGAGAGCGAGUCUAAAUAGGGCGAGGAGUCGCCGUGAGCAGACGCGAAACCUAGUGAUCUACCCAUGUCCAGGGUGAAGGCGCCGUAACAGGCGCUGGAGGCCCGAACCAGUUUCCGUUGAAAAGGGCUUGGAUGAGGCGUGGGUAGGAGUGAAAGGCCAAUCAAACUGGGAGAUAGCUCGUACUCCCCGAAAUGUCUUUAGGGACAGCCUCGGUCGUGUCUGCGUGAGGUAGAGCUACUGAUAGGAAGAGAGGGCUUCAUCGCCUAUCGAUUUCUGACAAACUCCGAAUGCGCGCAGAUUAGAGACCGGGAGUGAGUCGGCGGGUGCUAAUAUCCGUCGGCGAGAGGGUAAGAGCCCAGACCCUCGGCCAAGGCCCCCAAGAGCAGUCUAAGUUGAGACGAAACGAAGUGACGCCGCCAAGACAGCUAGGAUGUUAGCUUGGAAGCAGCUAUUCAUUCAAAGAGUGCGUAACAGCUCACUAGUCGAGCGGCGAUGCGUGGAUGAUGAACGGGCAUAAAGACUGCCGCCGAAGCCGGGGACGCGAGAGAUCGCGUGGUAGGGGAGCAUUGCGGACAGCGCCGAAGGUGUACCGUGAGGUAUGCUGGAGCGUCCGGAAAAGAAAAUGUAGGCAUAAGUAACGACAAUGGACGAUGGAAACGUCCACACCGAAAGCCCAAGGGUUCCUGAUCUACGUUAAGCGGAUCAGGGUUAGUCGGGGCCUAAGGGGAAGCCGAGAGGCGCACCCGAUGGGGAACCGGUAAAUAUUCCGAUACUCGCUUCGCAGGUGACCGGGAGACCGGGGAGUGACACUGCCGCCGUCAUACGGAGGACGGUUUAAGGACGUAGGGAGACUGAAAUCCGAAAGUACCGCGAGGCUUCGGCCGAGCGGAUAGCGCAGGUAAGCAGACCCGCAAGAAAAUCCCGGGAGCGUGUAGCGCGGAGCGACCCGUACCGUAAACCGACACAGGUGGGCGAGGAGAGUAUCCUAAGGUGCUCGAGUGAAUCAUGGCUAAGGAACUAGGCAAAUUGACCGCGUAACUUCGGGAGAAGCGGACCCUGGGGACAGGGCGCAGAGAAAUGGUCCAGGCGACUGUUUACCAAAAACACAUGGCUAUGCUAAAUCGAUAAGAUGACGAAUAUGGCCUGACACCUGCCCGGUGCCG